rnacentral:misc_RNA from 1 species
GAUGAAGAACGCAGCGAAAUGUGAUAAGUAAUGCGAAUUGCAGAAUUUCCGUGAGUCAUCGAAUCUUUGAACGCACAUUGCGCCCACUGGUAUUCCGGUGGGCAUGCCUGUUCGAGCGUCAUUAUCCUCCCUCAAACCCCGGGUUUGGUGUUGGACCGAAGUUGUGUGAACAACUGGUCUAAAAAACAAUGACGGCGUCCGUGGGACCCUCGGUGCAACGAGCUUUUAGGAGCACGCGCCGAGUUGCAAGGACCUUCCGGGCCGGUCUCCUUUUACUAUUUUACAAGGUUGACCUCGGAUCAGGUAGGAAUACCCGCUGAACUUAAGCAUAUCAAUAAGCGGAGGA